rfam:Ictidomys tridecemlineatus contig002716, whole genome shotgun sequence.
UGGGUUGUAGCUCAAUGGUAGAACACUUGCCUAGCAUGUGUGAGGAACUGGGUUCGAUUCUCAGCACCACAU